AUUUUAAUUACUGCUGUUAAUUUUCUCAUCUAAUACAUUCUCAAUUUUCCUUAUUUUUUGAGUACUUUUUUUCUAGGAAACUUAAAAUCAGGCAUAUGUAGAAUAUAUUUGUAUGUGUGUAUCUUCAGUAAAUGCAAACACUUCUGUAAAUGCCUACUCAGCCAUAAACACAUGCACAUGUAACAGAGCUUGGCUGAGCCUGUUCUCCUUGUGACCUCAUUUGAUGUAAUUGGUUGUGAGCAUUUUAUCUUCAGGUCACCACAAUCUUCCAGCCUGGUGCUCAUUCCAGCUGUUCCCACCACAGUCAGGUUUCCAUGUGUGCCAUCUACUGAGUACUGGAAAAAUAUCAUCAGUAAUUCCUGAAAUCUCUAAUGCAGUUUUACCACUGUCUUCAUGAGACUUCCAUUCUUCAUGUCAACAAUGACAAUGCCAUUUCUGUUUUCACAUAUUAUUGACAGGUUUGAAGAAUAUGGCAUGGAUGUGUCCUUACUGCUGCACUUACCUUCCUGCUGAAGGAAUUCUAGACACUGAUAUUGCCAAGACAGAAAGUACAUACUGAAAUUGAACAGAAUGCAAAACCUUGGUUUGCAGCCUUGAACACUAACUGCUAAAUAAUUCCAGAGAUGUAUCCAUGCAUGAGAACUAACACUAUUAAGAUCCUUUUUUAAUGACAGGAACAAACAGAAAUUCCACCAGCAUAAUGAUGGAAGAACAAGUUUUUGUAAUUCAUCAAGCUCAUAUCUAAAAGAGCUCCAAAACAUUCUGCCAGUGCCAUUGCAAAUGUUAAGCUAAGACUUAAACCUAUGGGAGCUGAAUCUUCUUGACCCACUACAUUUUUUUUUUGGCUUUGUCUGGAUAAAGGACAUAAAAAAUACCUCAUGAUUGUGCUUCUUCAGAAGUAUAGUACUUCACUGUUACAUGGAGGUUCUGAGUUAAUGGAAAUCAGACAGCCAGUAGCAGCAGCAACAACAAAACCCAAUUAUCCUUAAUGAAUAUGUAAGAAAGUUUGGCUGAAGACUACACUGAGGUCAGAAUCAGGCCCCCACAUUGGAAUAUUUUUUGCUUUUAGUAUAGUUGGUCUAGAUUUUUGUCAUGAAAAACGAGCCAGAUGUGACCUGGGAGGGUCCCUCUCCCCAAACUACAUUUUUCUCCCUUUUGCCUUCCAGAUUUAAUUAAAAAAUAUCAAGAGCCAGCAUAAUGGACAAAUAAAUUCACCACAAACUAAUAAUUAUUUCA
rnacentral:lncRNA from 1 species